GCCUGGGUGGCUCAGUCGGUUAAGCGUCCGACUUCGGCUCAGGUCAUGAUCUCAUGGUCCGUGGGUUCGAGCCCCGCGUCGGGCU
rnacentral:tRNA from 1 species